UACGUAGGGUGCAGGCGUUAAUCGGAAUUACUGGGCGUAAAGCGUGCGCAGGCGGUCUUUUAAGUCAGAUGUGAAAUCCCCGGGCUUAACCUGGGAACUGCGUCUGAUACUGGAAGGCUCGAGUUUGGGAGAGGGAUGUGGAAUUCCAGGUGUAGCGGUGAAAUGCGUAGAUAUCUGGAGGAACACCGGUGGCGAAGGCGGCAUCCUGGACCAACACUGACGUUCAGGCACGAAAGCGUGGGGAGCAAACAGG
rnacentral:rRNA from 1 species